rnacentral:lncRNA from 1 species
AUUGAAUCCACUUUUUCAAGGAGAUCAUUUGGUAGUAAAACACCACUUUUCUUCAGAGCUUCAACCUUACUGAGCAGUUCCAUCUUUUUCGGUUGCCUGAUUGACAUUUCUACACUGUACCUCUUGUAAAGAUGCUGCUGCUGCUCCUCUGACAUCAUCAGGUCAUGGCUGUCCAUCACAAUGGAUUCCAUGUCAAUCAGCCAAUCCCAG